GAACUCUACAGAAAUAUAAAGUGUUAAUAAAUAUAAUAUUUGAUAGGGAAUUAUAAAAGAAUUACAAAUAGCUCUGUGGUCUCUUAUCUCCCUCUCAAUUUUCACUAUUUCUUAUCCAAGUAACUUUAAUGGUGUUUUACAAGGAAUAGUGAUAAUGACUAUUCUAUUUCUGGAGUUAUCUAUAUGGUGUAAUAGGCAUGCUUUCAGUUACGGUGUAUAGCUAAGGAUGCAAGGGAUCGUUGAUAAUUUUAUGAUGAAGAAAAAAAAUUACACGGCACUCACUUAUAAUGGACCAUGUUCCCUCACCGUGACAUUCGAUUUUAUAACAUUAGCGGUAUUCACGUACAAGCGUCAGGUCAUGCAUGAAGUGUGUAAAUUUACUGAAGAUACAUUUUGGAAUAAGGAUUACAAUGAACUGGAUAAAGCAAUAUUGGACAAGUGCGAUAGUACAAGUGCCAUUGGAAUGAGUAUACUGGGUGUACUAGGAAUUGGGGUUAUAAUUCAUUAUCUGACGGGUCCAUACUGGGAUAUCGUAGGAACAAACACCACUGAGAGAACGUUACCGUUACGAGUAGUAUUUAACUUGCCAACUACAAUGACUCCAUAUUAUGAGAUAUUGUAUGGUACUGAGGUGAUUGCAGGAAUUAGUAUAGGUAUUUGCAGCAUAGCGUUCGCCUGCUAUCUAUUCUACACGUGCAUCUUUGUUUCCGGCUACUUUAAAAUCUUGCAGCGAGAGUUAGAGAAUGUGUGCGAGGUAGAACUAAAACGUGUAAACACAAAAUUAUCAUAUAACAAUAAUGAUACUACGCUUGCAUACGAAAAACUCAAAAAAUGCGUCGUGCAACAUGAACUACUAAUUUGGUAUUUGGGUAAACUGGAAAGUCUGUUCUCCUUCGUAUUGUUGAUGCACGUAUUAUGUAUCGUCAUAAUACUUUGCUUUUCUGGAUUUCAAAUAUUUUUGGGAAAUCAAGCCACGAAACUCCAUCGUCAAAUUCUAAGCGCAGAAUUUGUCAUGGCUGCUCUGGCUUCAACAGCCCUUUUCUCUUUCUCGUGCAAUGAAAUAUUUGAAGCCAGCGCCGCUAUCGGGGAAGCUGCGUAUCGAUGCAAAUGGUACAAGUUACCGUGCGAUGAAAAUGGUCGAGCACUGAGACAGGGAAUGACCAUAAUGGUCAUGAGGUCCUACAAGCCGUGCUCAUUGACAGUUGGCAAAGUUUGUCCCAUGACUCUGCAAGUGUUCAAAUCCUUGGUAUAUCGCAUUUGUGAUAACUUCAAAUAUAUACCUUGUUCAGGUACUGAGUACAGCGCUUUCCUAUCUUACCGUAUUACGUGGAAUGAACGAAAAUGAGUAAUCAAUUCUUCGACGCGCUGCUGAUGAGAUAUGUUUUCAAUUUUAUUUCACACCAAUGAAAUAUCAUACGUCAAAAUGAUAUGUGCUUGUUAUUUGGAUUGUGAUCUGUGAUGCAAUGCAACUGUAGUGCAUUAUUGCUACAUAAUAAUCAACAUGAUUAUAUUCAUUCUUCAGGUUAUUUUAUUUUUAUUUAAACCUAUAAGUAAUCCAAAAGUUUCUUACAAGUCACGCAGUGAUCUCUGCUGCCUGUGAUUUGAGUUUACGCAAACUUAUGUGGAAUUAUGCUGUUGGGUUCAUGUAUGUGCGUCGAUUUUACCAGCUGACUCAUGAUUCUAUACAUGCUCCUAUGGGUAUGAAAGAAAAUUUUGUAGUACCAGAGAACGUCGGUAAGAUGUGAAUCGCUCUUUGCUUACGCAUGGUUACUGUCAUUGAUUCCUGAACAUUGUCAGAUUCACGAGAUGGCGACGCUGGUGGCUUUUUGGUCGCUCGUUAAUAUGAUUAAAUGUUUUUAAAUGAACGAGUAGCAAUUAUAUGGCUGUGGAUGAUUAAUAAGCUUCUCGUUGUCAUACUGGUGCGAAUUCACGUUAUUUUCCUGUGCAUAUCCUGGGUGCAAAAAUAAGCGUGACAAUGAUGCUAUGAAAUUCUGCAAAUAUGCUGCUAAUGGUAUAACAUGUAUCUCCAUAAUGCACGAAUGUAAAAGCAAAUCGACUCGAUGCACACAACAAAUAUUUAUCCUUAAUAAAAAGCUAGUACAGUGUA